GGAGUUGUGUUUAGAGAACCCAAUCAACCUCUCACCAUUGAAGAAUUCCAUAUGCCUCGCCCCAAAGCCUCCGAGCUUCUCAUUAAAACCAAAGCCUGUGGAGUUUGCCAUUCUGAUCUCCAUGUUAUAAAGGGAGAACUUCCAUUUGCUAGUCCUUGUGCUAUUGGGCAUGAGAUAACUGGUGAAGUUGUUGAACAUGGGCCAUUGACAGACCGCAAAAUUAUUGAAAGAUUUCCUGUUGGAUCUCAUGUUAUUGGAGCUUUCAUUAUGCCUUGUGGUAACUGCUUGUACUGUUCUAAGGGUCAUGAUGAUUUAUGUGAGGA
rnacentral:misc_RNA from 1 species